CUGUUGUAUGAAAGGAGAGAAGGUUAGCACUCCCCUUGACAAGGAUGGAAGAGGCCCUUGGGCCUGACAACAUGCAUACAGUUAAGGCAUUGCCACCUACACCUACUUCGUGGCAUCUAACCACUGUUUUUA
rnacentral:ncRNA from 1 species